rnacentral:rRNA from 1 species
GACGAACGCUGGCGGCGUGCUUAACACAUGCAAGUCGAACGGAAAGGCCCUGCUUUUGUGGGGUGCUCGAGUGGCGAACGGGUGAGUAACACGUGAGUAACCUGCCCUUGACUUUGGGAUAACUUCAGGAAACUGGGGCUAAUACCGGAUAGGAGCUCCUGCUGCAUGGUGGGGGUUGGAAAGUUUCGGCGGUUGGGGAUGGACUCGCGGCUUAUCAGCUUGAUGGUGGGGUAGUGGCUUACCAAGGUUUUGACGGGUAGCCGGCCUGAGAGGGUGACCGGCCACAUUGGGACUGAGGUACGGCCCAGACUCCUACGGGAGGCAGCAGUGGGGAAUAUUGCACAAUGGGCGGAAGCCUGAUGCAGCAACGCCGCGUGCGGGAUGACGGCCUUCGGGUUGUAAACCGCUUUCGCCUGUGACGAAGCGUGAGUGACGGUAAUGGGUAAAGAAGCACCGGCUAACUACGUG